rnacentral:RNase_P_RNA from 1 species
GUGGUUUCCGAAGCAGCCGCCCUUUAUAGGGAGGAAAGUCCGGACUCCACAGGGCAGGAAGCUGCCGAAAGGCAGGCAGGGGUAACCCUGCGGAAGGGCCACAGAGAAAAGACUGCCUGUCCCGAUAAACCUUAAAGUAGGCGUGUUCGCCGAAAGGGUUUAUCCGGACAGGUAAAGGUGAAACGGUGGGGUAAGAGCCCACCAGCUGGUGGCGUGAGCCAUCAGGCUAGGCAACCCCCUUCCGGAGCAAUCCCAAAUAGGCGGAGGUCAGAGGGUUGCCCGCCCGAAAGCCUUGAGGCUUACCUCCGCGGGUAGGGAGCUGAGAUAAAUGGCUGCACAAACAGAAUCCGGCUUAUCGGAAGCCGCCGGU